GUCACUUCCUGGUCUCCUGCCUGCCUUGAGAACUCUGAUAGGACUUUGGCAGAGCUGCAGAGGCACGCUUGCUACGGACUUCCCCGACCUGGCCGUCAGCGAGGAGUGGGAUAUGACAUUUAUCCAGCUCGUGUGAACCAGUAGCGCCGGCAGUGGGAGGCUCCGCUCACCCACCAGGACAUCAUUAUGUCCCGUUUUUGACCCUCUGCACAUGCAUAGAAGGCUCUGUGCAUGCGCAGAAGAGGCACGCACGCUCACAUUCCCAAACCGGUAAUGAAGGAAACACCAUCUUACUUAUGUUCAUGGGAGUUCAUCUUGAUAUGGCAGGAUAUCCCAAAGCUUUCUCGGCACCUUUGCCAAAUUGCAUUAUUUAUGCCAUUAUUGCAGUGCUCACCUUGCGCUUCUAUUUACUUUUCUCCAUCUGUGACUACUCAGUCCCAACGCAAGCACAGACUGAGCCUGUUUGCAGGGACAAAAACAAGGCGAUGAUCACAUCGAGUUAUUUUAUGUAUGUGCCUCAAUAAGGAGCAAUUGACCGUACCUUGCUAAAAAUAGUGGAAACUGCAACUUGCAUCUCAAUAUUAGUUAACAAAAAUAGUAUUGUUGUUUUAAAGACUAAAAGAAGUUAGAGCCCAGCAGAUGUAGAUCUUUUUCUGUGUAUUUCUCAUUCUUUUCCUGGAUUUUAGGUAGGAUAGCUCCAGUGGUGGAUUCGGUUGGUUCGGCCGAACCAGUAGUUAAAUUGCUGGCUGGCCCCUCCCCGCUCUUCCCCUUCCAGGAGUCACCCUGCGCCCCAUUUUGGCUCCCAGGUAAGUGCAGGGAGGCCUACUAGGCCCAAAAUGGGGCAUGGGGCUGCAGUGCGCCCUCUGUGGCCCAUUUUCACUCCCAGGAGGCUGCAAGGAGACCUACUAAGCCCAAAAUGGGGCAAGGGGCAAGGCAUCCCCCCAUGGCCUGUUUUUGCUCCCAGGAGGCUGCAAGGAGGCCUACUAGACCCAAGUUAGAACACACGGGGGUGGGGGUGCGGUGCCUCCUCGCGGCCCGUUUUUGCUCCCAGGAGGCUGCAGAGAGGCCGAGUGCUGCCUGUCACACCCUCUGGCCACGCUCACCAUGGCUACGCCCACCCCAGUCAAUCAUUAGGGCAGAGAACCGGUUGUUAAAUUAUUUGAAUCCCACCACUGGAUAGCUCCCUUGGAGACUGGUUCCAAAGUAAAUCUCAUACACUGAAAUUUUACAUUUGAGGAGGUUCACAAUGCCUCCUGGGAGGAAACAAUCUGAAAAAACAUAAUUUUCAAGUUGCAAACAUUACCCUCUCAUAAAAUGUGUGUGGCAAAUUGUGAAAAUAAUACUGGAAAAAUAAGGCAGGUAUCUACAAACUAGGUAUCUAUAUAAAUAAACUGAAAAGGUCCAAAACUGCACUAAACUACAGAAAUAUCCAGAUACUCAUACAAUAUUCAGCUGUUGUUCUUCAUUGA